ACAUUUUCAUAAAAAGUCACCUUCACUGUCACGAUCACGACGACGGAAAUAAGGGUCAUAACAAGUGAGAAGAAAACACGAAAUUACAAGGAUAAAGUCGUAACUUUAUGAACAUAAGAUCGUUUAUUACGUUUGUGACAAUAAAGUCGUAAUAUUUCCUAAUGAAUGUAAUACGAGUGGAAGUGUCGUAAAGAAAAAUACAACUUCCCAGUUAAACAGAUCUAACCGUAAAGUAUACAGUAAUGUCACGAUACUUAAAUCCUCGUUAAAAUAUUACUGUGGCCUCGUUAUUUUCUUGCUUGAAAUAUUCACUCAAAUAGAGUUCACUCAAAUUUCCGGGUUCUUCAAACCACCAGAAGGUACUGUAUGUUUCAGAAGGUGACUUUAGAAAUUGUCGAAAUAAAUAGAAAACAUUGACAGCAAUUUUAAGGAAUUUUAAUUUUAAUUCAUUUAUUUAUAUUUAAAUUAAAUUUCCAGUUACCUGUGAGUAAAUAUUUUGUCAUUUUGCAGAUAUAAGAUUCAAACAUGUACAUGAACUUUAUUAUCGUAGAUGUACAACUUCAUUCCCAUAAUGUUUCAAUUUUUUCCUAUAAAUUUCCAAUUUACAUAUUAUAUUAUGAGGUUAUUUUCGUGAAUUUACAACUUUUUUUAGUACUGCAGGCGUUGUAAAAAACUAUCUAGUCCUAAUAUGUAAUAGCAUCACAGAUUAAAAA